rnacentral:rRNA from 1 species
GGCGGACGGGUGAGUAAUGCUUAGGAAUCUGCCUGUUAGUGGGGGACAACAUUCCGAAAGGAAUGCUAAUACCGCAUACGUCCUACGGGGGAAAGCAGGGGAUCUUCGGACCUUGCGCUAAUAGAUGAGCCUAAGUCGGAUUAGCUAGUUGGUGGGGUAAAGGCCUACCAAGGCGACGAUCUGUAGCGGGUCUGAGAGGAUGAUCCGCCACACUGGGACUGAGACACGGCCCAGACUCCUACGGGAGGCAGCAGUGGGGAAUAUUGGACAAUGGGCGGAAGCCUGAUCCAGCCAUGCCGCGUGUGUGAAGAAGGCCUUUUGGUUGUAAAGCACUUUAAGCGAGGAGGAGGCUCCUUUAGUUAAUACCUAAAGAGAGUGGACGUUACUCGCAAAAUAAGCACCGGCUAACUCUGUGCCAGCAGCCGCGGUAAUACAGAGGGUGCGAGCGUUAAUCGGAUUUACUGGGCGUAAAGCGUGCGUAGGCGGCUUUUUAAGUCGGAUGUGAAAUCCCUGAGCUUAACUUAGGAAUUGCAUUCGAUACUGGAAAGCUAGAGUAUGGGAGAGGAUGGUAGAAUUCCAGGUGUAGCGGUGAAAUGCGUAGAGAUCUGGAGGAAUACCGAUGGCGAAGGCAGCCAUCUGGCCUAAUACUGACGCUGAGGUACGAAAGCAUGGGGAGCAAACAGGAUUAGAUACCCUGGUAGUCCAUGCCGUAAACGAUGUCUACUAGCCGUUGGGGCCUUUGAGGCUUUAGUGGCGCAGCUAACGCGAUAAGUAGACCGCC